rfam:Felis catus isolate Cinnamon breed Abyssinian chromosome B1, whole genome shotgun sequence.
GCCUGGGUGGCUCAGUCGGUUGAGCGACUGACUUCCGCUCAGGUCAUGAUCUCACAGUUUGUGAGUUCAAGCCCCGCUUCGGGCU